rnacentral:lncRNA from 1 species
GUUUUUAUUUUUACUGUUUUGUUUGCAAAAUGUCCGAAUUUUUGAUAAGCAUUGCAUAUAAAAAACAUGAAGGCUACACAACAAUGUGCAGAAUGAUGAAACAUUUGAAAAUCAUUUUGAAUGUUGAGGACACUUGAGCGUAUCUUGUCCAUGUAUCCCCUGGGGGCAUUUUGUUGUGCUGUUUUUCAGGUUGGCAUCUGUGAGGACGUU